GUUCAAGUGCACGGACGUGACGUUCCCGGCGAACUUGAACGUCAGGCGAUGGACGGACACCCGACAUACAAAAACAUGGGCAGGGCCGAGGCACCCGAGUGGGAGUGGGAGUGGGAGGAGGGACGGACGGGACGCGCAAUAACAACACCAAUGGAUGGUCAUUAGAGGGAGAGAGAGAGAGGGGGGGGGGCUGGACAUGAGAAAUAGACCCAGUGGAAGCCAAUGGACACAGAGAUCAGGGGGGCCGGACUAGAGGCACUUGGAGGGAGGGAGGGAGGAGUGUGUGUGUGUAUACGUGUGUGUGCGUGUGUGUGUGUGCGCGCGUAAGUGAGAGAGAGAGAGGCAGAGAUGUCUAAUGAAAGCAAUAUGCAGAGAGAGAAUGAGAGAGAGACAGAGAGAGGGAGAGAGAGGUGGACGCAAAACAGGGCAAGGGAAGCCGCGGACAGGAGCUCACUGGAGGGGGGCGGAUAUAAUACUGCUGCGUGCACUACAGACCGGAGGAGUGUGUGUGUGUGUGUGUGUGUGUGUGUGUGUGUGUGUGUGUGUGUGUGUGUGUGUGUGUGUGUGAACAAAGUCUGUCGCACGUCGUGGCCACUGUUCUCAGUCUGAGAAAUGCUCACCUGGACGCGCGUGUGUAUAGGUCUGUGUCCCUGAAGCGCGUGCACACGAAGGCUGUUAGGCAGAUAGAGAGAAAGAGACGCGCGUGUUAAAAUGACAAGGAGCGCAGCAAACUCUCCGGCUGCAGCGAACAGGACGAACAGGUUGAACAACCAACAGAAAUACAGACACGGGCUAUAACCUGGGUGGCUUCACGUGCGCUUUACAUAUACACAGUGGUCUGCACUGCUCUGCUUACAGAUGAUAAUCACAUCCCGGCCCCGUAAAACAAAGAAAGAAUCCCAUUAUUAUAUGCAACUCCUGAAUAUGCAAUAUUUCCCGUCUUUUUUUUUUUUAGGCUAAUCUAAAAACUAAUAAAGUAUUUAUACAUGUCUAUGAUUUAGGUCUCAUCUUGAGCUAGACUAUGCCCCACAAUAGCGCAUAAUUAUUUAUACUUGUGAUAACUUAAACUCAUACCAAAAAGGGAUAUGUGUUCUUAAGGCUUCACCUUGGCAGAAAAAACAUUUGCACCAUACUCCUUUGAAGAAUCAGUGGAUUUAUUUUUUCCCAACCUAAAGAAGUUUUACUUGUUUCUUUAUUUUUUAUUUCAUUUUAAGAAACUAGAGGAACUCAUGUCUGAUCUUGAGGUCUGGGUCACUUGUGCAUCAGUGUUUGUGCCAUAAAUUAAAAUGCACCCAUUCCAUUGUGGAUAAUGUGUACUGUCUGUAACAUUGGAGGUGUGCGGUGAGUUUGUCUGUAUUGAGGGGGGGGGGCAGUUUUGAAGGGGCACUACAGAGUCCAAAGCCCCUCUACCUGUUAGUCUGUCUCUGUAUCUGUCUGCGUGAAAUCCACACUGCAGCCCCGUGCAGACCGUGGGAGUGCGAGCGGACACAUAAGCGCCCCGUGUAAUAACUUUCAGAUGUGCCUCAGGUUCGAGCUGCAUGCGGUACAGGGGAGGGUGUGUUGGUGGUGGUGGGGGGUGUGGAGAGGAGGGGAAGGAGGAGGAAGAAGAAGAAGAAGAAGAAGAGGAGGGGGAUGAGAUUGUAAAUACUCUUGUAAUAAAGGAGGUUUGGUAAUAUAAGACGCGGGGCUUAAAGCAAAGGCGCCGCGCAGCCCGACGCGAUCCGGGUUUUAGAAAACAGAUAUCAAGUGAGGAGACACGGCGCAAAAUGGGAAGAAGAGAGCCACCGGUGCUGUGUGGACGAGGUUGGAAGAGAGGGGAGGGAUGGUACAGGAGGAGAAGACGGAGAGAUUCACCCGGAAAGCGGCAACCGGCAGCGGCACAGUCCGUAGCUGGAGCAGCAGUGGCGGCGGAGGCAGCGGCGACUCUAGUGGUGCUUCGGAGACCUGGAGCUACGCGCACUGACCGAAGAGGACGCGCACUUAAUACCGAGGGGUGGGCGGGUGGGGGGACAAGAAAGAGGAGGAGGAGGGAGGUGAUGGGAGAGUGACAAAGAGAAGGAGAGAGAGAGAGAGAGAGAGAAGCCGGAGGAGUGGAGGAGGAGGAGGAGGAGGUUCAACGUCAAGGGGGAAAAAUGCAUGACCAGCCUGUUAACCAGCGGCGUCAGCACACCAGAAAGAACUGGCCACGUCCCCGCGUCUCAUGUCAUCGGGCUCCGAAACUUGUGUCCACUCGUGACUGGCUUUCUGGGGACAAAGUGGAGCGAAGGCUGACGACACGUUGUUAUCAUCAGUGAUCACUUCUAAGUUCUCUUUGUUUUCACGCACGACAAACCAUCCUAGAUGAACAGCAUGUACUGUAAUUCCUUUGCAUCUUUCUCUUGUGCCCUCUACAGAAAGACGCUAAAACGACACGUAGGCUGGCUGCCAUUUUCCCAUGAAACAGUCAUCAUCAUAUAAUAAAGUAAGCUAUGGGAGGUUAUUAUACUUUAGAUUUUAAAAUGAUUGCAGCGAAAUGUAUGUAAAGUUACAAAGAAAAGGAGAGGGGGGAAAAAAAGAAGAAAACAAAAAACAUGCCAAAACAAUAUCAGAAAUAAUUUGGACGAAACAAAGAAUAAGUUUAAUAGACAGGGCACAGAAAUGCAAGUUUAUAGAAAAAUUGGUAGAGAUUUGAAGGAAGUCACAAGGCGAAUUUCAACAGGAGCUUGGGAGCUCUGCCAGCAAAUCCGCAAUCUCCCUCAGCUUUAAGUCUUGAUCAGGGGAUUGCAAGCAGAGUUUUGUUGCAGGAUCUGAGGUGCAGGUACUGUAUGGGCACAAGUGUAUGCUGGAUCCAGACCAGGAAGUACUUUGCAAUGAGGCAAUGAGUAAAAACCUUAAAAAUCAGUUUGAAAAUACAAUUUUAAAAAUCAACUGGAAACCAACGCAAAGAGGCCACAUUGAGGGUUUUGUGAUUUAAAUUUUUUUUUUUUUCUGUAAGAGUCUGGCUGCAGUUAAAAGACAUUUUUUCCCUGUAUUUUGGUAGGCUAAUAAAAAGCACAAUGAAGUGCAGUAAGAUCACUGUAUUACUGAUUAUUAUAUUAGGCUGCUAUAAACCCCCAUGAGAACACCAAAAUGAGGCUACAGGCCCAUCAUAUAAAGAUAACUAUUUAUGUUGAGAACAGAACAGUAGGCUACAUGUGGCCGGUGAAAUCCAUAGGGCUUCUAUGACAAUGAGUGCACACACACACACACACCACACACACUAUUAGACAUAGGCUGUAUAGGAAUAUUUCAAAGUGGGUUUUCUGUAGGCUUCUCAGAAUAUCUGAACCAUUAUUUCGGGGGGGUGGUAGACAGUAUAAACACAUUGUUGUUGUCUGAGGUGUGACUCUUAAAUGCUGUUGCACUGCACAGACAACACAGACAGCUAUUUAACUGAAGACAUAUCUAAGGACAAACACCUUCUCUCAUGGCAGCUUUGGGUGAUUUAGUAUUUUGGAAAUGGUUUUAGGAAUAAUAGGGGACUUAACAAGUGACAGGCAAUGAGGAAAAUUUUAGACUUCAGUUCAUUAAAUUUUGUUCUGACAUUUCAGUUCCAUUAAAUGUGAUUAUUUCAUGGCAAAAAAAAAAGUUGGUGUGUACCCCAUGAUUUUAUUCACCAGGGACAACAUAGUGAUGUUUCAUUUUGAAACAUCACUAUGGAACAUUCAUCUCUCUUCUGGAACAGAGAGUAAUCUAAUUCAUUUUCAUGGCAGGAUUUCCAGACUGGGUUGGAGGAAUCUUCAUCAUUUCACAGCUGGACAGCACCGACUGGCUGAUGUCUCGUAUUUAAUAAAAAGCCAAUAUCGGCAUCAGUUUAAAUCAACACAAUAUCCCCAAAUCAUUUAUAGAUUAGAUGAUAAAUUAGGAAUUGUGAUGUCUCAAUCACUCAGUCAUUCUCUGACUGAUCUGUAAACAAAGGAUAAACUGAGGAGAAGAGUUGGUCUCAGUUGCUUAUUGAUGCAUUUCUGAAAAUCACAGCUGAGUUCUGAAGAGUUUGCCAGCCAUCCAAAGUGGCUUGCGAUGAAAUUAAAAAAGUACCGUCCAAAGGAGCCAGCAGGUGUGAAGAUUUCAGCCCACCCACAGAUGUAAACCUUGAUCUUGUAGAGUUUAUAUGAGAAUGGGGUCCUUUUAAGGAAGAAUUAGAAAUAAAUAUGAUCUUUUUUUCCUGUUGUUAAAAAAGUCUUGUGAUGAUCACUUAGGACAAGUUCCGUGAUUUCCACGACAUCAGCCUUGGUUGCAUGCAGUGACUAAGCUGCCUGCUUUUAUUUAGUAGGAUUAAGAGCUUUUAUUUACAACCAUGAAGGUACUUUUACAAGAACAACACAUACGGUACUGCACAUACAACAUAUAGCACACAUACAAUGCUGUAUUGUAGGAAAGGGCAGCUUUUUUGCACAUUCUGAACCUUUACAAUUCCAUGUUCAGGUUUUAGACUUUAUUGUUUUAAUUGCCAUUUUCUUUAUUUCUAUAUUUGUUAUUUUACUCUCUAAAUGGUUUGUCAGCACCACGAUGUAUUUACCUGUCAUGCCUGUAAAGCAAGCUGAAACUGAGAAGAGAAUGAUUUUGACAUUGGUUUUGCAAACUAAUUCAGUUCCCUUAACCCACCACAAGAUGGCAUUAAAGAGUUUAAAAUGUCACUCCUCUACAUGGAGAGUUUCAGCUUCUCUCUUCUAGAUGGACAUACAGAGUGUCAAACAGCUGCUGUGCUGUCACUGAUGUACAUCAGAUUUUAUUUGAGCUUGUGUGGUGGGUUUUAUCAUAUGUUUUACAUAUUUUUAUUAGGUUUUAUAUUUAUAUUGUGUUUUAUGCAUCGUAUGCUCUUGUCUGUGUGUUCUGCGGUUCACCUGGCUGCAGGGACAAUACAGUUGAAAUUAAAGUUUGACUGUGUAUAUACAAAAUAGUUGAUUAGUUUUAAUACCUUUGGCACCAAAAAAAAAAGGUCAUGGCAUAAGUGACAUCAAUUUCCUGUGUACUGAUAAAUGAUAAAGUCUGCCUGAACGCUAUAACAAAUUCUCACUUCUUCACAUACACAUAGGCUACUAUUUGCACAUUGAGGCAUAUGAACUACUACACUGUUCUACACUGUUUUAAACUGAUACCAUUUCACUGAUAAAACUAUGGUUUACAAGACUUUCUCACUGAGGAAAACACAUUGUCUCAUAUCAAGUUGAAAAUGUUAGGUCUGUUCACAUUUUAAAACAAUGAGCUCCUCUGGAUGGUUACAAGAGGACUCACCUCUGCCCUGACGUGUGCUGUUUUGGUUGGUGGUUUGAUCCCCGGCUCUUCGAGUCAAGACACUGAACCUCAGGUUGCUCCUGAUAGCCAGGCCAGCGCCUUGCCGCCAGCGCUGUGUGAGUGUGUGUAUGAACGGGUGAAUGAAAUCCAAUGUAAAGCGCUUUUCCCACUAAGGUCGAAAAGCACAACACCUGCUGGGUAACCUGUUCAACUGCUCGUCAACACAAAUAUCUAAUCAGCCAAUCACGUGGCAGCCAGCAACUCAAUGCAUUAAGGGCACAGUCACACAUGCGCGAAUGUAGGCAAGUAGCCAUCGUCUGCCGAGGCAGAAUUCGUAUCUUGUCGUGCUGAAUAUGGGUCGUGUCUAGAUGGUAACCCUGGAUUUGCGAAAACUCUCGCGAGAUUUAGGUUUAGGCAAUAAAACUACUUGGUUAGGUUUAGGAAGGCGCACAAUGAAGAAACAACACGUACAAAUCUUGCGAGAGUUUCACAAAUCCAUUGUUACCAGCUAGACACGAUCCACUUGCUUAAGCACAGUAGCACUCGACUCUGCACACGUUAGCAGUGGCAGAUACCGAGAGCCGCUUCAAAAUAUUCUUUAACGAUAGCGGAAGGGACUUAUUAACUUAUCAAAUAUUGUUGCUGUAUUGUAAUAAUGUCUGUUUCUGAAUUACUUUAAAGUACUUGACGUAGUAUAAAGAGCAAUGAAGUCUGUAUAGGGAGGAGGUCGUAGUGGAUGAAUGGGUCAAACACAGGACCUUCACCCAGGAGACCUGGGUUUGUGUCCUGCGUGAAACCAAAAGUCAGCGUUGACUUAUUAAUUUUAGACUUUGAUCUGAUGAGAAUUAUUAUUUUCAUUGUUUUUCAGUCGUAGUUUACUUGGUUAGGUUUAGGAAAAGAUCAUAGUAUAAUAAGUCAAAGUUGACUUUUGGUUUCACACGGGACACAAACAACGGUCUCCUAGGUGAAAGUCCUGUUUGUGAAAAGCUUUCUGGCAAAAAGCCCCGAAGAAACAGGACGUACAAAUCUCGCGAGAGUUUCUCAAAUCUAGGGUUACCAUUUAGACACGCCCCUGAAUGUGGGCAGUGCAGGAUGCGGCGCACACGCAAAUCAGUUUGCUGGUCAGUAGUUUGUUUGAGUGGUUGUGGCUGUUGGACAUGAGCAGUUGUGAUAAGAAAACUACAGUCAAUGACAGCCAAGUGGGGUCAACCACACACACUUCUUUGCUAUUGGUUGAGGCUGCGACUUUGCAGGUCACAGUUACCAAAGCUGAACUCCACGCAACGCGAAUGGAAGUGAACGAGAGGCGAAUAUUUGCCGAUGUUAAUUUUGCGAUUGUGCGACCAUGCCCUUAGGCAUGUAAAGUCAAGAGGAUCUGCUGAAGUUCAAACCAAGCAAGUCACCAAGUGACUUUGAACAUGGCAUGGUUGUUGGUGCCAGAUGGGUUGGUUUGAGUGUUUCAGAAACCAAUGAGCGACAGCUCUCUGGGUGAAAAUGCUUCAUUGACGGCAGAUGUCAGAGGAGAAUGGCCAGACUGAUUCAAACUGAUGGAAAGGUAGUCAUAGCCAGAUCUCCACACUUCGUUUUAGCGCUGUGCCAGCGCUGGAGAAAGGUCUGGCUGAACCCAAUAGGCUCAUUCGAGAUGAAUUGCGCCUUGCCUGGAAAGUGGACGAGAUCAGGCGGGAGCAGCAGGUUUCCAACAGCCUUCAAAGAAUAUGCAGGAAGUCACAGAAAUAUUUACAUCCUGUCAGAUCCAUCUGCAGGCUGCCUGUAGUUUGCAGACCGUGUUCGGAUAGCUGUGGCUAAAGAAAUCACAUAUGCGUUCUUGAUCGCUGAUGAAGUUGAAGCAGAAGAGAUCCCCCUACUGUUCCAUGAAGAUGGACAGUAAAAAUAAUAAUAAAUCUACUUUUCACAGUGGUCUAAGUUUGUCUAUCAUAACUUUUUAUUUGUUUAACGAUGCCACUGUUGUGAUUGAGGAGAGAAUCGGAGAAAGAUUGUGCAGAUUUUAGCCCUUGGAAGUCAUUUAUUGAAUAAUUAUAGCCUACAUAGAAAAUGUAUGUAAAGGCACUUUCAUUUAAAAAUCAUAUGACCCUAAAUUUAAGAAAUUGAACUAAUGAAUCAACAGUCCAAACAUUCACACAGCUACAUACAUAGGCUACACAUGGGGAGGAAAAGCAGCAAUUAUGACUACAAGACAUACGUUUCCUGCAGUGAUAGACAAUCAGUUCCAUAACAAUUGAGGUUUCUGUCGCUUCACUAUAGUUACAACUAUGGGAGUCUUGGACUAAACAUAUUCCACUUCUCUGGCUGACCGAAGUUGUCAUCAAGUUGUAAUUAGGCUUUCUUAUAAUCUUUAUUAAUUGAUUUAUUUAUAUUUGUUUGUAAUUCUAUAUAGUCUAUGUGGAAAUGUGAGUGUAUCUGGCAUUGUAUUCUAUCCUUUGUUCUUUUUAUGUCUGCCUUGUAAAGCACUUUGUAAUUGCUCGUUUUGAUAAGCGCUACAUAAAUAACCUUUAUUAUUAUUAUACAUAUAUAUUAUAAAUAUAAAAUAAUAUAUUAUAUACAACCACACCAGAUAUGUUUGUUAACAGAUUAAACCUUGAUUGCACAACAUGAGACUAACCUACAAUCUUGCAUUAAAUAUUACAAUUACACAGAAAAUUAGGAUUUUCUCCAAAACGUGGUGUUUGUGGUCAGAACUAAGAGCCAAUCAGCUCUUUGAUCAGGCGACAGCCAGGCGUUUCCCAUCAUGCCCUGGGUCUUGCAGUCGUUGGAGAGCAUACUGUAUAUAACGAUGGACGACAUGUCUCCACUUCCUCCCACUGUACAGACAUGAAGCCAAAAUAUCCGAAAACACGGGCGCUGCCAUCUUGCACUGGUGACGUAAUUUGGAGCCAGAGUCUGCACAGUAGUAAUUGGGGUUGGACCCGGCAGACUCAAUCGCACAAGAUUAUCAAAGAUAAUCAUAAAUAAUAACUUUAAUGAGUAAAGUCAUCAGGGACACCACUCUUCUUAAAGAAGAGAAAUGAUUGAAUUAAUUGAUCCAGUCUCAUAAAAUACACAAAACCAUCAAUUUGGAACUCAGAUUAAUAAUUAAAUUAAUAACUAGAACCAAAAUGACCAUUAAUAGGUAGUGAGCUGAAAGAUUUUGGGUCCAUCAUAGAAGAGGUUGGCAAAUUACUCACUCUUGUGAAACAUUAAAGAUAUCAGCAUAAUUGUACACAAGCAUCUUCCUGUUUAGCCCUCUGCUAACUUGAAUGGGGAUAAAAUGAUUUAAUAGUGCGGCUCUUCUAGACUUUCCAAAUGUUAUCAGACCGAAUGGAUCAAAUUCUGACAGUGAAACGAGUCAUUUAGCGGGGGUUGUGACACUAAAAAAAAAAAGAAAAUCCACUGUUUUACAGCUGCUUCUUUCACAAUGUAAGUCUAUGGGCCAAAGUAUUUUGGGGCCAGUGUGCAUCACGUGACGGACCUGGAAGUUGUAAUUCCACGGUUUGGCCACUAUGUUAAAUUGGCUCUUUGAAGGGAACCGGAUCUUAUGGCUCCGUUCCUUUCCGAGAGCCGGCUCUUUCGUCUCCCAAACGGCUCUUCGUUUAGUACCACCUCUGCUGGUCACUGCCUAAGUUACGUUCUUAUUUGUUGCGAGAAAUAAAUAUGCGAGAUUCUUCAUCUGCAAUACAUUGAAAUAUUGUCAUAUUGAUGGUUAAAAAGUGGGAUAUGUCAAGAAUAACUAUCCUUGUUAUAGCCUAUAACAAAAAUAACACCCUACUAAUGAAAUAAUAUGGUUAAUAAAUCCUUACACAACUCUAUAUAGACACAUACAGUAUACUUCAAUUUAACUCUAUUGCUCUAAUGUGUGUGUGUUUCACCAGCAGUUUUAGCUGUUAGCCAGCAUUAAGCCAGGUAAGGUAAGUCUCUGCUAUAAACUUCAUUAUAUACUGGGCAGUGUUUGUAACUGACAUUUGUAAGCUAAUAGCUGUAUUCUGUCAAGACUGUUGGUUAUGUGUGAACUUUUGCUUAUGUGGUGUGCAUUCAACUGUGUUUAUUUAUAUUUUUUGAGUUUAUGUACAUUCUUGGCACUUCAAACUGUGAUACGUGGUAUAGAUAGAUUUUGCCAGCUGUUUAACACACACACAGACAGACAGACUUACAUCUUGUUUCCUCUCCUAGAUAAAAGGAGGAGGAUCCAGAAGCUGCGCUUGAUUGGCUGCUUCCAUUGGUGGCUGCAGGGGCAGAACGUUGACGGGUGCGAAACUGAGAAGAGGAAGAAGAGCGUGGGGAGAUACAUAACGGAAAAAAUACAGGACAUUGUUAAAAAACACAAAAAACAUUAAGUGUGUGUGUGUGUGUGUGUGUGUGUGUGUGUGGGGGGGGGGUUCUUUAGUUAUGUCAUGAAUAUGAAUAUUAAGUGAUAAGCACUGCUAUGGCUACUGUUAACAAAAUUAUUGAUAUUAACAUUAAUAGCUUGUUGUUGCUGUUGUCACUGUUUUUAUUAUUGUUAUAUAUUGUGAUAAUUGUAGUUGUUUAACUUAACUAAACAUUUUUAGGCCUCAGUAAGCAAGCAAGGAAUGAAAAGGGCAAUUAGUAACUUGAUUCUUGAUUAUGAAGUUGUUUUUGUCUGUGUUCAGCAAUUUAUGGUGGCUUACAAUUAAAAAAAUGACAUUUAAGAAAUGUGUUGGAAGUUGGACGGAUCUGCUGAAAUUAUACAGAAAUCGGGGAGUAUGUAGAUGGUUAAAAAUGUACUUCAGUUUACUGGCCUGCAUAAGUUAGGCAAAAACUAGUUGGAAAUUAAGCUGUAGCAAUUCAGUUAAAUGCCUGCAGAAGUUACAUAUAAGCUAAGCGUUACAAUUCACGGCUGCUGCCCUGAUGUGAAUAUUAGAUAUAAAUGACGUCUGUGUGUUAAGUAAAUGGUAUCACUUAAAUUACUGAUCUGAUCUCUGGAACAUAUAUAGAAAGAGUAAAGGGAAAGAACACUGGUUAAAAUUCCUAUUGAAGGUACAUGCCAAGUUAUUUCUAUAAGAUACUGCAUCAGACUGAGCGCAACCCUCAGCAACUCAAGUGAAACACUGAGUCUAGACCUUCAACUAUUCCAUCAUUGACAACAAGGCUAUCAAGUAUUGUGCUUGGUAAGGCUAUGAGUUGUUAACCCCCAGAUUCUGUUUUGCCAUGGACCUACACUCAUUGCCUAUCAUAAGCAGGUAAGGACAGCUUAGAGCCCCGCUCUUGGUUGGAUAUCAAAACUGCCCCCAAAAGAAAUUUCAAAUACGUUACUUGCUUAUUCCCACCUACUUACCAUGAAAUUUGCAGACCCGUAAAAUGAAGUGUUACCACAUAUUGCACUCCAAUGUUAGUAUGCACCAUGUGUCAGUCACUGCUUUAUAUGCUUGUCUGUUAGAGGUAAUUUGUCCUUUUAUCUGUUCUAUGACAAGAAUAAACACCAAAAUUA